UACAGAGGGUGCGAGCGUUGUUCGGAAUUAUUGGGCGUAAAGCGCGUGUAGGCGGUAACGUAAGUCGGGUGUGAAAGCCCUCAGCUCAACUGAGGAAGUGCGCCCGAAACUACGGAGCUAGAGUGUCGGAGAGGGUGGCGGAAUUCCCGGUGUAGAGGUGAAAUUCGUAGAUAUCGGGAGGAACACCAGAGGCGAAGGCGGCCACCUGGACGAACACUGACGCUGAGACGCGAAAGCGUGGGUAGCAAACAGG
rnacentral:rRNA from 1 species